rnacentral:rRNA from 1 species
AUUGAACGCUGGCGGCAUGCUUUACACAUGCAAGUCGAACGGCAGCGCGGGCUUCGGCCUGGCGGCGAGUGGCGAACGGGUGAGUAAUACAUCGGAACGUGCCCAGUAGUGGGGGAUAGCUCGGCGAAAGCCGGAUUAAUACCGCAUACGACCUGAGGGUGAAAGCGGGGGAUCUUCGGACCUCGCGCUAUUGGAGCGGCCGAUGGCAGAUUAGCUAGUUGGUGGGGUAAAGGCCUACCAAGGCGACGAUCUGUAGCUGGUCUGAGAGGACGACCAGCCACACUGGGACUGAGACACGGCCCAGACUCCUACGGGAGGCAGCAGUGGGGAAUUUUGGACAAUGGGCGAAAGCCUGAUCCAGCAAUGCCGCGUGUGUGAUGAAGGCCUUCGGGUUGUAAAGCACUUUUGGCGGGAACGAAAAGGACUGUGCCAAUACCACGGUUCGAUGACGGUACCCGCAGAAUAAGCACCGGAUAACUACGUG